rnacentral:rRNA from 1 species
AUUGAACGCUGGCGGCAGGCUUAACACAUGCAAGUCGAGCGAGCGGCGGACGGGUGAGUAAUGUCUGGGAAACUGCCGGAUGGAGGGGGAUAACUACUGGAAACGGGAGCUAAUACCGCAUACCAUCAGAUGUGCCCAGAUGGGAUUAGAUAGCAGGGGGGGUAAUGGCUCACCUAGGCGACGAUCCCUCGCUGGUCUGAGGGGGUGACCAGCCACACUGGAACGGAGACACGGUCCAGAGUCCUACGGGAGGCAGCAGUGGGGAAUAUUGCACAAUGGGUGCAAGCCUGAUGCAGCCAUGCCGCGUGUGUGAAGAAGGCCUUCGGGUUGUAAAGCACUUGCAGCGAGGAGGCGUUACUCGCAGAAGAAGCACCGGCUAACUCCGUGCCAGCCGCCGCGGUAAUUC